GCUCCCUCCCUCUGCGCCCCAGCCGCGCUGUGCACCGCUAGAGAGAGAACACAACCUUUGCCUUAGGCUGUCCCGACGCUGUGCUUGGCUGUCCCUGUCCUCACACAGCUUCCAUUCUGAAAAACCACAAAAUGCCCAGCGCCAGGAAGGAAAGCUAGAGAACCGCCCAACAGAAUGAUGGAGUGUUGCCUUUCGGCAGGGAAGUUAGGAAAGGAGAUGGUGGAGGCGUGAAGGAGAUGGUGGAGGCGUGAAGUGGAAAGAAAGGAACUGGCUUUGGAUUAGCUAGAACGGAAGGACACUUUGGCCAGUAAGGCGAGGACUCUGGAAGGUAAAAGAGAAGACACCUGAGGUACUCCCCCCGGGAGAAUUGACUGAGGAGCCCCCGCCAGGACAUCUAAACGGCCUUAAAGUUAUUAAGAACUGUAAAAAGAGUUUAAUAAAAUUUUUAUGUUGACUGAGA